ACACACAGAUCUAACGCCUACAUUCUCUGAGCUCCUGACACUGUGGAGUGACUACCAAUUGUUCCAGCUGACAACAUUCUAUCGGGAGAGACUGAAACAGGCGAUUGAAGAAAGGGUUGAAAGCCUCGACUUCAUGAUGAGACAGCAGGGAUGUUUCAGUGAACAAGAACACGGGAGUGUCGCUGAGCUGGUGGUAAAUGGAAACCGCAGAGACAGUUCCACACUCUUCCUCAGUCUGGUGAUGG